GUCACCUAAAGUGAAGUGAUGAAAAUGAACACCGUGAAGUGAGAGUGACAGUGAGGUGAUGUUCGGAAUAACCAUGGCGUGUUAUUCAUAAUUGUCUGCUUCUGUCGAUUCCUUUUUCUAGCGUAAAGAUGUCUACAGGAAACUUUGUUUUUGUAUUGAAUUGUGCUCUGAUACCGACAGUGAAGAUUUCUUCCUAGCACAUCACCAAGCUGUCUAGAAUGUACGAAGGAACCGGUGUCAAUCCGGUGUGCUGACCCAACAAUGGUUCCAUACGACAGCGAGUGUUUGGCCAGGACAAAAGAGAACUUCCCCGCCCUCGGGUCGGAAGGUCGGAAAGGUUCAGGAUCAACCAGCAUCAAUGAGGGCUUUAGUAGUAAAAUUACCACCAGCUCGCAGCUAAAACCUAGUUAGCCAAGAAACGACAGUAACAGCGACAGAAACCAGCAACAGAUAAGUUAAGCUGGUGGGGCUCCAAACAAAGUACCAGUACGAUUAUCCACGUCUCCAAUCGACCACCGACUGCGACAAUCAAUGGAGAUGAAGAAACCCAGUGCAGCGGUACUUUCCGGCGUUAGCAGCCCGUUUCCAGCGUAGUGUACAAGGUGACAAUUGUCGUUCCCCGAAGCAUGCAAUAAAGAUAGUACCAGCUCAAAAGGUGGUACCGAGCGUUAAUUCGACGAAUACCUGUCCGAAUCCGGUGGCAAGCCGGAUGGUCCCUGCCCAGUGGAUUGUCGCUAAUAAGGUGAAUUCUUCUUCGCUCUCACUUGGAGGUGGUGGCUCAGAUGCCACUGGUGGAACAGGGACAGUUUCACCGAAAAAGAAACUCCGGCCUCCAUCCCGAAGGAGGAAGGCAACUUUGUGAACUUGAAAGCUCCAACUGGAAAGAAAUCUGGCUGGGUGAGGAGAGUAGUGGCAACAACAAAGACAAGAACGACAGUAAUACUAGUGUCAGCAGCACGAUGCACCAGAAAAGAUGACUGACUGUGAUAUGAAAUAAUUGUUAUACUUCCAGCUUUCUUA